rnacentral:rRNA from 1 species
AUUAGAUUAAAAACCAAUGCCCUUCGGGGCUCGCUGGUGAUUCAUGAUAACUUCUCGAAUCGCACGGCCUUGCGCCGGCGAUGGUUCAUUCAAAUUUCUGCCCUAUCAACUUUCGACGGCUGGGUCUUGGCCAGCCGUGGUGACAACGGGUAACGGAGGGUUAGGGCUCGACCCCGGAGAAGGAGCCUGAGAAACGGCUACUACAUCCAAGGAAGGCAGCAGGCGCGCAAAUUACCCAAUCCCAACGCGGGGAGGUAGUGACAAUAAAUACUGAUACAGGGCUCUUUCGGGUCUUGUAAUUGGAAUGAGUACAAUUUAAAUCCCUUAACGAGGAACAAUUAGAGGGCAAGUCUGGUGCCAGCAGCCGCGGUAAUUCCAGCUCUAAUAGCGUAUAUUAAGGUUGUUGAGGUUAAAAAGCUCGUAGUUGAACCUUGGACUUGGCCGGCUGGUCCGCCUCACCGCGUGCACUGGUUCGGCUGAGUCUUUCCUUCUGGAGAGCCGCAUGCCCUUCACUGGG